CAAAGUGUGUAUUAGGAGAGAGCAUAACUGACAGAGGAUCAGCCUAGCCCCACUGUGCUCAUUCAAGCUCUCCAGGAUACCAGGCAAGAGCUGAGACACUGGGCAACACUCCCUCUCUCCAGCAGACUCUGUUCUUCAAGAUCCGGGGCUUGUUAAUAUGUCAGCCUAGAAAGUACUGUAGUUUUCAAAAUACAGCCUACCUGCUUCGGAAAAAAACCCCCAAACAACGUUGCUGGUAAUCCCACUGUUCAUUACAUGCAAGACAUAGGGUGAGAACAGUUCCUGCAAAAAGAAAAAGUCAAAUCUUCAUGCGAUCUAGAGGAUGCAGAGCAAUGAGCAGGCUCACACUCUUGCUGCUCCUCCCCAGUUAGGUGCUACAAGCCAAGAUCUUUUUCUCUGCAUUCUGACUUUCCAAAACAAGGUGUAUAGUAUAUGUUGGUGCAUGCUGUAUGCGGGGAACUAUGAUAUGCACCUUUUAGUUGCACCAUCACUGCCCUACUUGAAUGUUACUCAUUCUGUACAUGAUCCUUUCCAAAUGAAAAGACCAGUGAAAACACAAAGAGUAUUUUUGGGAAGCUUUACCUGCCAUUUUGGAACAACAACAAAAGGCAUACCCAACCUUCCCAGGCAGCCCUCCAGACAUUUUCCUACAAUUCAAAGAAGAUGGAAAGGGUUUUCAGAGUACUUACUGUGACAGCUUGAUUGUUGGCAUGUACGCAUGGGUAGGCUUCCUCCCAUCCAGAGAACACAUCAAUAAUAACAAGAAUGUACUCAUAAGAACAGCACUUAGGUAGCAGCAAUUUAAGGUUACAUUUGCAGCUGACAGUAGAAGUUUCCUCUAUUUAGUAAGAUGGGAAUUGGAAAUGUGCUGAGUUUUGCCCUUGAGCAGAAGGGCCAUCACAGCAUGUGGAACUGCAACGGUUAAAGAGUGUCUCAAAACUAGAGAAUUUGCCUUUUCAACCAACAAGGCAGCAGCUGCAAGUGAAUGGAGGCAAGGAGGAAGUCCCGCAGCCACGGGAUCAAGGGCAGAGCUGUAUUAUGCAAUUGGGCGAUGCUUUUCACCGUGCAGCUGAGUGAGUACUCCUAAAGCGAUUUCUUCCUAUUCAUGACAAAACAAAGUAAAGGGUUUCUUAUAAUUAGGGAGUCCAAGAGCGGGAGCAACAGCAAGGGCUUGCUUAAGGGCCACAAACGCUUGUUUGGCUUCAGGAGUCCAAGGGAGGGGUUCUGGGGUGGUAUCAUGAGUAAAUGCUUGCAAGGGUUUUGCAAAAGCAGCAUAACCCAGGAUCCACUGUCUACAAUAACCCGUUGCACCUAAGAAUCCCCUCAUCUGUUUUCUAGUCAUAGGUUUGGGAAUGUUGAGGAUAGCUUCAACUCUACUAGGGCUUCUCUGGUUUUUCUGCUGCUUCUGAUACAGAAACCAGUGACCAGCAAAACCAUCUCGCACGUGUUCCUUUUUGGGGUUUUUUGUUUUGUUUUGGUUUUUUUGGGGGGGGAGAUCUGUGUUUUCAAAUGUCUGAUUGCAUAAGGGCCUUGAAUGCUGUAUUGUAGUGAUCUUAAAUGAAGGGCAGCAGUCAUGCAACCGAGUUGCAAUAGGUUUAACCCAGUCAACUCAGUGCCUUAAAAUAUUUUGAGGAAAGGAUUCCUUAGGGUGAUAUCUUUUAUUGAAGCAAUUGCAUAGUUGGGAUAGUGUUAGACAAGCUUUCGAAUGCAGGACAUUCUUCUUCAGGUGGCAUGUUUUGGAAAUAAUAUAAAUGCUAUCUUUUGUGGUUUAAAACAACCUGAAACUAUUGGGAGACUCUGAUUGGAUGUAGCUUAUCCACAUCCUCUCCCUAUUGGGUUUUAUUUUACUUGUCUUUGAAGCUUCUAGUGUUGACCACGGUUUCAUUCAAGAUACCAAAUCACCUGGUUCACAAGUCUGAUCUAGUGUGGCAAUUCCUGUAACUUGUCUGAAUGCUAUUUCUAGUGCAACUGCUUAAUUUGAAGGCUUGUGAAGCUAUGAUUUCAGUAUAAAUCCCAUCAGCUUUGCCAUUCAUUCAGCUUACCCAUCUUUUCACUCCCUCUUGUUCAGGUUCAAGAGCGGUUUGUGGCUCAUGGAAAUGACAGACUCAAGCUGAUUGUGUUACUGUGUAGUGAGGAUGAUGAGAAGGUCCAGAAAGCAGCUGCGGGAGCUUUGGCCAUGCUGACAGCAGCACAGAAGAAACUCUGCUAUAAAAUGACUCAAGUGACAAUUCAGUGGCUGGAAAUCCUGCAGAGGCUCUGCUUGCAGGACAGUGUGGAUGUUCAGCACCGUGGGCUGGUUGUUGCUUACAACCUAAUCAGCGCUGACAAAGAACUCGCCAAAAAGUUGGUAGAGAGUGAGCUCCUGGAGAUCCUGACAGUCGUUGGCAAACAAAAAGAUGACCCCAAAAUACAGCAUGCUCUUGACGCAGCUCGUGAGUGCCUUGUGAAGUGCAUGGACUAUGGGCUGAUCAAACCGCUGUCACGGGCAUGAGGACAUCAUUGUCUAUUGAGAAACGGCAAGGAAAGGGAGGCCACCAGGAGGUCUGGAAGUCUUCCAGACCUGCAUAAGGACACUCAGUCCCAUGGCCAAGGCUUUACUGAGCACUGGCUUUGUGUGUUUUGUCCUGAAAGAAGGUAAAACUUAAUGAUAUCUAGGUACUGCAAAUACCUUCAGUGCCAGGAUGCAGCAAAUUUCCACUGAAAGAAGCAAUAUGGGAAGCACAUUGAACAGCUGCUGCUUCAGGAAGUCUCAAAAAGGAUAAAGAGAAUGAGUGGACUGUUUUCACAAAUGAAAAUUCUUUAUUUCAGCAAUUCCUAGCAGUGGAAGAACAAGCACAAGGUUUUAUUUCCUCACAUCAGAUGUUCAGAAACUAGUUCAGAUUUGUUAUUUAAAAAUGAUUGUUUCUUCUUUUGAAUUGGAAUGCAGGCAUUUAGCAUGCGAGAGCACUGGGUGGAUUCAUAAUAAACAGCAUCUUUGCUCUGUG